rnacentral:rRNA from 1 species
GAUGAACGCUGGCGGCGUGCCUAAUACAUGCAAGUCGAGCGAACUGAUUAGAAGCUUGCUUCUAUGACGUUAGCGGCGGACGGGUGAGUAACACGUGGGCAACCUGCCUGUAAGACUGGGAUAACUUCGGGAAACCGAAGCUAAUACCGGAUAGGAUCUUCUCCUUCAUGGGAGAUGAUUGAAAGAUGGUUUCGGCUAUCACUUACAGAUGGGCCCGCGGUGCAUUAGCUAGUUGGUGAGGUAACGGCUCACCAAGGCAACGAUGCAUAGCCGACCUGAGAGGGUGAUCGGCCACACUGGGACUGAGACACGGCCCAGACUCCUACGGGAGGCAGCAGUAGGGAAUCUUCCGCAAUGGACGAAAGUCUGACGGAGCGACGCCGCGUGAGUGAUGAAGGCUUUCGGGUCGUAAAACUCUGUUGUUAGGGAAGAACAAGUACGAGAGUAACUGCUUGUACCUUGACGGUACCUAACCAGAAAGCCACGGCUAACUACGUGCCAGCCGCCGCAGUAAGAC